CGAAUUUCAAUCAGAUUGGAGUUUUAAACAAUCCAGUUGGUUUUAUGUGUGUAUUCGCGCAACAGAGAACGCCUGGGGUCAUUAGAAAGCUCCACUGAAGACUGCCGCGGCGGCGCGCGCUCGAACAUGGUCGCUGAAACUCCUAACAACACAAUUCGAGUAUACAGCGUGUUGUAAUAUUAUGAAGUUUCAAACUCCACAAUGAGCAGACAUGUUGUAGCAACAUUGAGUUUAUUGAAAAUUUCUGCAUCUGAUAACCAAGCGGGAUAUAGCCAUAUCGUGAAAUGCCCAUGUGUCGUUGGCCAAAUUGUCAAACGUUAAGCGUUGAACCAUAUAUCCAG